AGAGUUUGAUCCUGGCACAAAAUCAACGCUGGCGGCGUGCCUAACACAUGCAAGUCGAACGAGAAAGUGGAGCAAUCCAUGAGUACAGUGGCGACCGGGUGAGUAACACGUGACUAACCUACCUUCGAGUGGGGGAUAACCUCGGGAAACCGAGGCUAAUACCGCAUAACAUCGAGAGAUCAAAGGAGCAAUUCGCUUGAAGAGGGGGUCGCGGCUGAUUAGCUAGUUGGCGGGGUAAUGGCCCACCAAGGCGAAGAUCGGUAGCCGGCCUGAGAGGGCGCACGGCCACACUGGAACUGAAACACGGUCCAGACUCCUACGGGAGGCAGCAGUGGGGAAUUUUGCGCAAUGGGGGAAACCCUGACGCAGCAACGCCGCGUGGAGGAUGAAGCCCCUUGGGGUGUAAACUCCUUUCGACCAAGACGAUAAUGACGGUACUGGUGGAAGAAGCACCGGCUAACUCUGUGCCGGCAGCCGCGGUAAUACAGAGGGUGCGAGCGUUGUUCGGCA
rnacentral:rRNA from 1 species